CAGUCGCCGCGGUAAGACAGAGGAUGCAAGCGUUAUCCGGAAUCACUGGGCUUAAAGCGCGUGUAGGCGGGCCGCCACGUCGGCUGCUGAAAUCCCCCGGCUCAACCGGGGAACGGGCACCGAUACGAGCGGCCUGGAGGGGGGUAGGGGGGACUGGAACUUCCGGUGGAGCGGUGAAAUGCGUUGAGAUCGGAAGGAACGCCCGUGGCGAAAGCGAGUCCCUGGACCCUUUCUGACGCUGAGACGCGAAAGCCAGGGGAGCGAACGGGAUUAGAUACCCCUGUAGUCCCUGUCUCUUAUA
rnacentral:rRNA from 1 species